CAUCCAAUAUUUAAUCCCCCAACAAGCGGCUGUUUCGGUGAAUCAUCGUCUUGUCCACGUCUGUGAUAGAGCAAUUCGCGGGAGAGCACCGACGAGCAGUAAUCAACCCAGCGAUUGCAGUAGCUAUCAUGCUGCUGGCCACUAGAGUUCCUACCACCUACCACGGGAGUGUUGUCCGCGACCAAGCCGCGCGAAUCGAUUAAGCGACGACCACAUCGCCGACGUCGACGAUACCGCAGCAAACGUGAGCACCGGGCUAGAGAAACCGGCAACAUUCCUAUGCUCGUCGCUGUCGGUGUCAGGCGAAACCCGCAACAAUAAACCCACGGUGUUUCGUUCGUUGAUUUUCGGUGUUCCGCCGCCCGGGGACCAUAUUUUAAACAACCCGAGCUCCGUUGUUCGUAUCGUGUAACGUGUCAGCCACCAUAGCUUCCAAAACGGCAUCGAGCAGCGGUUGGCGAGGAAGCAGCAGCAGCAGCAAGGCUCCACAGGAAGAUGUAAGCGACGAUGCAGCCACCGGAGGCUACGACGAUGGUGCGACCACGCGACGCGGCCGGUUCCGUGUGUCGGCACCACCGUCCGGCCCUCCGGAAACCACCGUCGGCCGGUUCCGGCUGAUCCCGCAAGCUGGAACCUAUGGGCCGACGUCACCGUUCCUGCAGCGUGGCCGGUUCUCCGUCAUCCCGGAGGAACCACAGAACUCACCGAACGCUUCGACGAGCCUGCCGCCCAUCAUCACUACCACCAGCGAGGC